GACGGGUGCGUAACGCGUAUGCAACCUGCCUGACACAGGGGGAUAAUCCGAAGAAAUUUGUCUAAUACCCCAUAAUACCGAUAUAGGCAUCUAUGUUGGUUGAAAGCUUUGGUGGUGUCAGAUGGGCAUGCGUUGUAUUAGCUAGUUGGUGAGGUAACGGCUCACCAAGGCAACGAUACAUAGGGGGACUGAGAGGUUAACCCCCCACACUGGUACUGAGACACGGACCAGACUCCUACGGGAGGCAGCAUG
rnacentral:rRNA from 1 species